rnacentral:lncRNA from 7 species
ACAUUGAUUGGGCUGUGGGGCUGCAAGCUGCUUCUGCUGUCAAACAGAAGGAGACCUUUAAGCACACUGCACCGAUUCUUGAAAGAGACUGACAAACUGAAUAGUGACAUUUGCAUAAACGGAGUCUGAAUUUCACCACUGACGCCUCUGAAUUCACUUCAUUUUUUGGAAGACAAGAGAUCACUUAUCUUUUUCACUGUUUCUGCCCCAGCUUGGUUUUCUUUGCCCCAAUGCAAGUGACCAUCAGAAAUAAAGAAUAUCAGGCUGACUGGCUCUUCUUCCUUUCUUUUGUUUUUUUCAGCAUAACUUGCUAAAUGAAGUCAGAAGAGAGUGGGUAGGAGUUCUGCAAGUCUGGAGCCUCAGAAACUGUUAAGGUGACAAAGCGUGCAUGCAUACUGAGGAAUGAAAAUGGAUACAGAUGUGAGCCUUACUUUGCAGCCAGCAGACACUGACAUUUUGAGCAAUCCAGUUUAGGAAUCAAGAUAAAGUCUACUUGAGCAGAUUUCAAGAAAUAUCACGGGAUGAAAAACCUCUGUGUUAUUUUCUCACUCAAUUCCAAGGCACAAGAAGGGAAAUGAUGAAUAUAAUAAUAUGGGAAUUUUGUUCUCUGUUAUGAAUAAGGCCUCCCUCUUCCUUCAGGCUAUGUGAAGGCCUCCUGGUAAUAUGAGAAGCAGAUCUCCUCUUUAUGCCUCUAAAACUUGAUACCAUCAGAACUCUCCUCAUCCUAGAGGAAUCUCAUUGAGCAUAAAUAAACAGCACGUCAGUUUACCUGGAGGUAAAAAAAAAUAUACGCAGGCCGCUUCCCUGUGCUUCGCAGAACAACAAAAUAAAUGAUUUACAAACCACUCAGCAAACUGCAUCAGGAACUUCAGUGGAUGUGUCUGGAUAAAAGAAAAAUUAAAUGAGAUUUAAAAUCAUCUAGUAUGAAAGCUGAACCCAAAUGUUAAUACAGUGUAAGUGGAUCAGGGAAAGGAAAGGAAGAAGAGAAAGGAAGAGAACUGGAAAUCAAGAAUGUCCAGCCAGAAAACCACUUAGGUAUUUAAAAAUAGAUCUUUAGCAGAACUCUGGCAUCUAACGUUAAGAUCAUUCAGAUCCUAAAACUAUUCAGGCACAUGGUUUCAUCAGAUGGUACAGAAAGGGAAUUAACAGUGCUGAAUGGAAAUUGACUUCAAAUUAAUAAUACACAGUUAUUGCUUUAAAACACUUCUUUAAGCCAUUCCUUUUGCAGUCUUUCAGACAGUUCAACUACUAUGCAAGUGCAAAGCUAAGUGCAGGAAGUUGUUAUGAAGAAAGUCAUCCUUAUAAAAGCCAUACUAUUUUUUCCCAGUUUUCUAUCAACUACACACAGUAAAUGAUAAGUUCGGUUCCUAGUUCUGAAUUUUCCUUCAAUGCCCUCUCCUAAGCCCAAAUCCAGCAGCUGUAUUAAUGGUUGAUAAAUCAGUGCAGGAGUCAAACAUUGUAAUUGUACAGCUGAGCUAAUGGUUCUGCUACUAAAUAAAUAAAUAAAUAAAUAACUAUGUUAUAGGCAAUGUCCUAAGUAACCACUAUAGGUUUGAGAUAAGAAAUCAGAUGAUAACGUUCAAAUCAAACCACUGCAAAAAAAAAAUCCCUAGGUGAUUGAUUUAAAUCUUUCCAGUCUUCCAACACUCUCCUGUAACUCAUUACCUUAUUGAGCUUUUGAGACUUUCACAUGUCUCAGCCCUUCCAGCAAGCAGAAGCAAUAUGAUUUUCUUACUGCAGUCUCACUAGGGCCAUUAUCAGGCAUACAGCCCACAGGACUCAGGCCCCAAAACAGAGGUACAAAAAUAACAGAAUUUCUAUAUUACCAAUGGACAGAAAGGGAGGCAAACUGCUAUAAAAAGAGAUGUGCUGAUGUGAUUUAGAACUGAGUUUGCAGAUUGAGUUCAUACACUUUGAAUAGGUUCCACAAAAGCUAUUGCCUUUUGAAAGCUUAUCUGAACAAACCAGAUACUUUUGUUCUCUAUUGCUAAUUAAGAUAGUCCAAUGCAGGUCCUUCAGUUCCCUUGCACACUUGAGCAAUUUCAUAUGUAGACCAUAAAGUGUGAACCUCCAUUAAACAUGUCUUAAUC